UGAGCCAGAGAGCCUGUUGAUGAUAUUUCAGGUACAUCUAAGGUAUUACCAGCUACUCCAGGGUCAUGACCACAUAAUGGCACCACACACAAUGUUGACUCUCCUGGAGAAGGAACAUCUCAAGCAUUUCCUGAUCAAGAAGCCCAAAAGAAGCGCCCUCGAAGGAUUCAAAAGCGUCCCUGGUCUCCAAAAGAAGUUGCUGCAGUGAUGAAGUACUUUAGCAAACACAUCAACACUGGGAAGCUGGCAUCCUUCAUUGAAAUAGAACAGUGUAAAAAGGCUGAAUAUCUCGUCCUUAAAGGCCGAUCUCCACAGAACAUAAGAGACUUUGUUCGAAACAGAGGCAAAGCUAAAAAAAAAUCCUAGAUGUCUCGAUCGUUGAUGUUGAGCAAAAUGUUAAUUAAAGCUCCAUACAAGAAUAUUUGCUGUGCUUUCAAGUUGACAGUUGUAGUUCAAUAACCCUCCCACUAUCUUUAUGGGUGACCCCGCGAGGAAAGUUGACCAUUGAGCAGGAUUGAUGGUUUAUCCCUUGGGU